UAUACCAAAAUAAAACUUAUUCUAUUGUGCCCCCAGACUCUUGCUUUUACUCUUGGUUACUUUCCUCUUCGAAAUUUAGCCAAAAGGGAGUAAGGGACAGAGCUUUCCAAGUUCCAAACAUUUUGAUUUUGUACCAUCGCAGGUGUAUAAAGAAUUAAAGACUCUCCGCGUGAUUUUUAAACACAAAUUUAAAUGGAGAGAUUUUAUAAAAGAAAGGUUGAUUUGGUUAUUUCUCCAGAUGAGCAAGUUCUAAUGAAGAAGAAAGAUAAGGUGAAUAAUCUUGAGGCUAAAGACAUAAGUUUUACAAGUAUAAAAAAUGGUGACAAGUUGAUAAAUCUAGCAGACCUUGAAGCUGAUCCUGGGCUAAGAAUUCCUAUUUGUGACUAUAAUGUCAAUGACCAAGAUGAAGUACGCAAAAGGUAUUUGCUCAAAGGUCCCUGCCAACCGCGAAAUCAUAUUUUUCCAUUGACAAAAUGUGGAGAAAAAGAUAGACGUUUCAACCCAAAUUGGUUUAAUGAUCAUCCCAGCUGGUUAGAGUACAGCAUUGCAAAAGAUGCCACAUUUUGCCUGUUUUGUUAUCUUUUUAAAGGAACCGUGGGAGAGCAGAAUUGUUUUGUUACUAAAGGAUAUGUGAAUUGAAAAAAGAAAGAUAGAUUCGGAACUCAUAUUGGUAAACCUGGUAGCUCUCAUAAUUACUCUUGGAGAAAAUGCAAUGCCUUGCUAAAUCAGAAACAACACAUUGCCACAUUUUUUAGCAAGCAGUCUAAGAAAGAUCAAGCUCAGUAUCGUAUCCGUUUGGAGUCUUCAGUUGAUUCUAUCAGAUUUCUUCUACGACAAGGACUUCCAUUUCGUGGUCACGAUGAAUCCGUUGAUUCAAGCAAUCAAGGUAAUUUUCUUGAACUUCUGAAAUUUAUGGGUUGCCUGAAUAAAGAUAUCAAAGAUGUGACCUUACAAAAUGCCCCUGAAAAUAGUAAAUUGGUAUCACCUGAUAUUCAGAAGGACAUACGCAGCUGCAAUUGAAACCAUAAAUGUGAUUAUCAAAGAUAUGGGAGAUUCUUUGUUUUCUGUUUUAAUAGACGAGUCGCGUGAUAUUUCCAUGAAAGAACAAAUGGCGGUUGUGGUGCGUUAUGUAGACAAAAGGGGUUGUGUAAUUGAAAGAUUUUUAGGCCUUGAGCAUGUCCCUAGUACUACAGCCAUCACACUCAAGUCUGCAAUUGAUAAUUUUUUUUCAAGACACAAAUUGAGCAUAACAAGUUUAAGGGGUUAAGGCUAUGACGGAGCCAGUAAUAUGCAGGGUAAGUUCAAUGGACUAAAAGCACUGAUUUUGAAAGAAAAUUCCAGUGCUUAUUAUAUCCACUGCUUCGCUCAUCAGCUACAAUUAGCUCUAUUACUCAAUAAUUGAUAUGCAACUCCAGGAGUUAAACAAUCGUUUUGAUGAGGUAAAUACUACGUUACUUUUGUGUAUAUCAUGUCUAUGCCCGGAUAAUAUGUUCAUUGCUUUUGAGAAGGACAAAUUGAUUCAACUUGCUGAGUAUUAUCCAACUGAUUUUACCUUGACGGAGCUUAUGGCACUCGAUGACCAACUUCAGAACUAUAUUUUUGAUAUGCGCUCAAGUACUGAAUUUUCAGAAUUGAAAGGCAUUGGCAACCUUGCAAGGACAAUGGUUAAAGUUGGAAGAGACAAAAUAUAUCCAUUAAUUUAUCGGUUGAUAACAUUGUCGCUAAUUUUACCCGUGGCCACCGCAACGGUUGAAAGAGUCUUCUCAGGAAUGCAUUUUGUGAAAACAAAAUUGCGAAAUCGCAUGGGGGAUCAAUGGUUAAAUGAUAGUUUAACCAUUUUUGUUGAAAGAGAAAGUUUUGCUAAUGUCAGUAAUGAAUCUAUUAUGCAGCGUUUUCAGAACAUGAAAACGCGUCGUGGAACUUUGUAAAGCUUAAGUUAAAUUUAUAUAUAUUUUGUACUCUUACUAUGUUAAAAUUUUGAGAAAUGCCCCCUUGAAUGAUA